CACGUAGGGUGCGAGCGUUGUCCGGAAUUAUUGGGCGUAAAGAGCUCGUAGGCGGUGUGUCACGUCGGCCGUGAAAACCUGCAGCUUAACUGUGGGCGUGCGGUCGAUACGGGCAUCACUGGAGUUCGGCAGGGGAGACUGGAAUUCCUGGUGUAGCGGUGAAAUGCGCAGAUAUCAGGAGGAACACCGGUGGCGAAGGCGGGUCUCUGGGCCGAUACUGACGCUGAGACACGAAAGCGUGGGUAGCAAACAGG
rnacentral:rRNA from 1 species